rnacentral:rRNA from 1 species
CCUACGGGUGGCAGCAGUGGGGAAUAUUGGACAAUGGGCGAAAGCCUGAUCCAGCCAUGCCGCGUGUGUGAAGAAGGCCUUCGGGUUGUAAAGCACUUUCAGUGGGGAAGAAAGCCUUGGGGCUAAUACCCUCGAGGAAGGACAUCACCCACAGAAGAAGCACCGGCUAACUCCGUGCCAGCAGCCGCGGUAAUACGGAGGGUGCGAGCGUUAAUCGGAAUUACUGGGCGUAAAGCGCGCGUAGGCGGUCUGAUAAGCCGGUUGUGAAAGCCCCGGGCUCAACCUGGGAACGGCAUCCGGAACUGUCAGGCUAGAGUGCAGGAGAGGAAGGUAGAAUUCCCGGUGUAGCGGUGAAAUGCGUAGAGAUCGGGAGGAAUACCAGUGGCGAAGGCAGCCUUCUGGACUGACACUGACGCUGAGGUGCGAAAGCGUGGGUAGCAAACAGGAUUAGAUACCCUAGUAGUC